rnacentral:rRNA from 1 species
GACGAACGCUGGCGGCGUGCCUAAUACAUGCAAGUAGAACGCACAGUUUAUACCGUAGCUUGCUACACCAUAAACUGUGAGUUGCGAACGGGUGAGUAACGCGUAGGUAACCUGCCUGGUAGCGGGGGAUAACUAUUGGAAACGAUAGCUAAUACCGCAUAAUAUUGAUUAUUGCAUGAUAAUUGAUUGAAAGAUGCUAUUGCAUCACUACCAGAUGGACCUGCGUUGUAUUAGCUAGUAGGUGAGGUAACGGCUCACCUAGGCGACGAUACAUAGCCGACCUGCGAGGGUGAUCGGCCACACUGGGACUGAGACACGGCCCAGACUCCUACGGGAGGCAGCAGUAGGGAAUCUUCGGCAAUGGACGAAAGUCUGACCGAGCAACGCCGCGUGAGUGAAGAAGGUUUUCGGAUCGUAAAGCUCUGUUGUAAGAGAAGAACGGGUGUGAGAGUGGAAAGUUCACACUGUGACGGUAUCUUACCAGAAAGGGACGGCUAACUACGUG